GAUUGAACAUAUGAAAGCAACAUUGUUCACUCGAUACAUUCUUCCAAAAGUAAAAUUGUAAUUUCCUGCUUGUGGCCUUAAGGGUUGGGUCUACGAGCCUCAACUUACAUGAUAUUAUA